UGGAACCUAAAAUAACUCAACCCCUCUCUGAUUCUGAUCUGUGCCUUCAUAGCUUCAAUCAGCCUUCACCUUUUAACCUUUGACUGUAACGACUCAGAAACACUACUUCAACGAGGCAGGAAACGGAGUUAAACAGACUCCUCUCCUUGGCUGGUGUCCUUGGAGACUGGAGUUGUCCUGCCUGUCACACCCAGGCCUGAUUAACUAAUGGGCUACCUGACCUCCUUAAAAAUGAAGCUUCCAGUUCGCUCUCGAUCUGCUGCUGGAGGGAGAACACCAACGGCGAACAGCUGCUGCUGUCACCAACACCACAGCAUCUACCGUCACCUGGUCCACAUCUCAUCCAGCCACCAGCAGCCAGGGGGAGACCAAACAUGUGGUCGCCAAGGCUCGUAGAGUAAUAUCUGCUGCGGAGCUGGCUGGCGGAUCCUGGUGUGAGCUGGAAUGGAUGCUGACAUGGAGAGAGCACAGUGUGUUUGUCUCUGUAGCAUUACAGCAGCAACACAACUCUCCUGCGUUCAUCAGUAACACUAAAGACAACAUGGCACAGAUGUCAUGUCAUAAUAUUUAUGACAAAAGUUAUGUUGAGAUAGACUGAGGGGCUCUGCAAAUGGAAGUUCAGAAUGUUCAUUUACAAGAAGUCAUUGUAUUGAUACGUGGGCCUUGAUUUUUAUAAUCAGGUGGCUGUGCCUUUUGAGUUGGUCAGUGUCCUAGUCAGUGUGUCCCCCCCCCACCCCCACUCCACCACACACACACACACACACAGACAGACAGACAAUUCAUCUCUGUUUCAGGUGUCUGCUGUUUUUCCCUCUGAACUCUGCGUUUCCAACUCAUUUAACUUCAUCAGUUCAUUAAGAAAACCAAGCGUGGCCACCCUAAUGAGUGCUUAUUAACGAGGGAGAGCAGAUUGCCUUGACUGGCGUGCAAUCUAAUUGGGAGGGGAGAGAGGGCAAAACAGAAGAGAGAGAGAGAAUGAGAGAAUGAGAGAAAGGGGAACUGAGUGAUGUGAAAAACAACCUUCAGCGAAUCUCAAGGACAUGCUGAUUGAAAACCAAACAGACAGUGUGUGGGUGUGUGUGUGCGUGUGCAUGCGUGUGUGAGAAAGAGAGAGAUAUGAACUCAUUCUGUGUGUGUGUGUGUGGUGUGGGAGGGUGUUUUUGGGAACAUAUUGGCUCUAGUUGUGAAACGAAAACAUUCAAUGUGACCAUUUUGUGUAAGGUUCCUGUUUAGCAGUAAUUGACCCUUGACCUAAUACUUAGAGAACCCUAUUUCACAGGAACAAAGGUCAACAGCAACACACACACACACACACACAC